rnacentral:rRNA from 1 species
AUUGAACGCUAGCGGCAGGCUUAACACAUGCAAGUCGAGCGAGCGGCGGACGGGUGAGUAAUGUCUGGGAAACUGCCUGAUGGAGGGGGAUAACUACUGGAAACUGUAGCUACUACCGCAUACUAUCGGAUGUACCCAUAUGGGAUUAGCUAGUAGGUGAGGUAAAGGCUCACCUAGGCGACGAUCCCUAGCUGGUUUGAGAGGAUGAACAGCCACACUGGGACUGAGACACGGCCCAGACUCCUACGGGAGGCAGCAGUGGGGAAUAUUGGACAAUGGGCGCAAGCCUGAUGCAGCCAUGCCGCGUGUGUGAAGAAGGCCUUCGGGUUGUAAAGCACUUUUAGCGGGGAAGCGUUACUCGCAGAAGAAGCACCGGCUAACUCCGUGCCAGCAGCCGCGGUAAUUC